UACUGUCUCUGACCACUGGAGGCCCACGU
rnacentral:piRNA from 1 species